rnacentral:rRNA from 1 species
AACUAACGCUGGCGGCGUGCCUAACACAUGCAAGUCGUACGAGAAAGUUGGCUUCGGCCGAUGAGUAAAGUGGCGCACGGGUGAGUAAUGCGUGGAUAAUCUGCCCUUUAGUUGGGAAUAACGUACCGAAAGGUGCGCUAAUACCUGAUAAUACUGCAUAACUACUGUUGUGUAGUCAAAGAAGGCCUCUGUUUACAAGCUUUUGCUGAAGGAUGAGUCCGCGUACCAUUAGCUGGUUGGUGGGGUAAUGGCCUACCAAGGCUACGAUGGUUAGCUGGUCUGAGAGGAUGAUCAGCCACACUGGAACUGAGACACGGUCCAGACUCCUACGGGAGGCAGCAGUGAGGAAUAUUGCGCAAUGGGGGCAACCCUGACGCAGCAACGCCGCGUGAGUGAGGAAGGUUUUCGGACCGUAAAGCUCUGUCGAGCGGAAGAAAUGUAUCAUGGCUAAUAUCCAUGAUACUUGACGGUACCGCUAAAGGAAGCACC